AGCGGAGAGCAAGCUUGCUUGCUCUGCCGGCGACCGGCGCACGGGUGAGUAACACGUAUGCAACCUGCCCUCCGCAGGGGGAUAACCCGGAGAAAUCCGGACUAAUACCGCGUGGUACACCAGUGGGGCAUCCCACGGGUGUUAAAAGGAAGUGAUUCCGGCGGAGGAUGGGCAUGCGGCGCAUUAGCUGGUUGGCGGGGUAACGGCCCACCAAGGCGACGAUGCGUAGGGGUUCUGAGAGGAAGGUCCCCCACACUGGUACUGAGACACGGACCAGACUCCUACGGGAGGCAGCAGUGAGGAAUAUUGGUCAAUGGGCGGGAGCCUGAACCAGCCAAGUCGCGUGAGGGAAGACGGUCCUAUGGAUUGUAAACCUCUUUAGGCGGGGAGCAAUGCCGGGCACGCGUGCCCGGAGGGAGAGUACCCGCAGAAUAAGCAUCGGCUAACUCCGUGCCAGCAGCCGCGGUAAUAGGGAGGAUGCGAGCGUUAUCCGGAUUUAUUGGGUUUAAAGGGUGCGUAGGCGGAUUUUUAAGUCAGCGGUAAAAUGUCCGGGCUCAACCCGGGCCGGCCGUUGAAACUGGGGAUCUUGAGUGGGCGAGAAGUAUGCGGAAUGCGUGGUGUAGCGGUGAAAUGCAUAGAUAUCACGCAGAACUCCGAUUGCGAAGGCAGCAUACCGGCGCCCGACUGACGCUGAGGCACGAAAGCGUGGGGAUCGAACA
rnacentral:rRNA from 1 species